GGCAGAAAGCACGGGACUUACAUACAGAGGACUUGUCAGUACGACACGAGCAGGAGACAAAUGUUUGCGCUGGACAGAUACAACUUUCCAAAGACAACAAAACCACACUUAUUGUCGAAAUUUUAGCGCGAAACUGAAAGGUCCAUGGUGUUUUAUAUCUUCUGAUGACUGGGGUUAUUGCGAAGUACCUCUAUGUGAAAAGCAAAGAGAGGAUGAUUGUGAAUUAGUACGACAAUAUCGUAUAGAUUGGAAGACUGACUUGUUAGGAGCUUCAUACAAUGGAACAUUGAAUGUUACAGUAUCUGGACGUAUCUGCCAAGCAUGGGGAUCUCAGACCCCACAUAAACACUUAUUUACCAAAAUAUCCGACCAGUCUAAUUACUGCAGGAAUCCUUCGUUAAACUAUCCUGGACCCUGGUGCUAUACGACAGAUCCUAAUGUUAAAUAUGAAUAUUG